UGGGGAAUAUUGGACAAUGGGCGAAAGCCUGAUCCAGCCAUGCCGCGUGUGUGAAGAAGGUCUUCGGACUGUAAAGCACUUUAAGUUGGGAGGAAGGGCAGUAAGUUAAUACCUUGCUGUUUUGACGUUACCGACAGAAUAAGCACCGGCUAACUCUGUG
rnacentral:rRNA from 1 species